CCUACGGGUGGCAGCAGUGAGGAAUAUUGGUCAAUGGCCGUAAGGCUGAACCAGCCAAGUCGCGUGAAGGAAGAAGGAUCUAUGGUUUGUAAACUUCUUUUAUAGGGGAAUAAAGGUAUCCACGUGUGGCUAUUUGCAUGUACCCUAUGAAUAAGCAUCGGCUAACUCCGUGCCAGCAGCCGCGGUAAUACGGAGGAUGCGAGCGUUAUCCGGAUUUAUUGGGUUUAAAGGGUGGGCAGGUUGGAAUUUAAGUCAGCGGUGAAAGUUUGGGGCUCAACCAUAAAAUUGCCGUUGAAACUGGUUGACUUGAGUGUGUGAGAGGUAGGCGGAAUGCGUGGUGUAGCGGUGAAAUGCAUAGAUAUCACGCAGAACUCCGAUUGCGAAGGCAGCUUACUGGGCCAUAACUGACGCUGAAGCACGAAAGCGUGGGGAUCAAACAGGAUUAGAUACCCGUGUAGUC
rnacentral:rRNA from 1 species